CCACGGCUUCUUCUGGUCAACGCAUCAGUCCUUGCAGGUAUUCUCUUCUUCAUCUGGAUACGAGUCCUUGCCGGCCACGGCUUCUAAGGUCAUAACGUAGUUUGCAGCUAACUAUAUGUUGAUCCUCUUGAUUCGGAUUGGAGACUCGUAUUUAAUUACAGAAAUUAAUUCAUAAACAAUGUCAGGAUGGGAUUCCUCAACGUCUUCAACACGUCCUCAUACUCACCGUUCUUGAGCAUCAGCAUGAGAGAGCCUUGGAAGACAUCAACAAUGUCAGGAUGGGAUUCCAAACUACGGUCAAUGAUGAAUUUGCUUGAGUUGGUGGUGGUGCUGGAGGGCAGGCCCUGGCCGGCAACUGGUGGAACUUUCCAAAAACUGCGGCGGCAAAAACUAUGGCUGCAGUGGUAGUUUUCAGACUGGAAAUUAAAGGAUUUGGAUUGGAGGAAUUAGAACUAGAUUUGA
rnacentral:lncRNA from 1 species